rnacentral:rRNA from 1 species
UACGUAGGGUGCAAGCGUUAUCCGGAAUUAUUGGGCGUAAAGAGCUCGUAGGCGGUUUGUCGCGUCUGCUGUGAAAACUGGAGGCUCAACCUCCAGCCUGCAGUGGGUACGGGCAGACUAGAGUGCGGUAGGGGAGAUUGGAAUUCCUGGUGUAGCGGUGGAAUGCGCAGAUAUCGGGAGGAACACCAGUGGCGAAGGCGAGUCUCUGGGAUGAUGCUGACGCUGAGGCGCGAAAGCCAGGGGAGCAAACGGG